UGAGCAACUGCCGCGUGAGUGAUGAGGUUCUUCGGAUCUGUAAAGCUCUGUUGUUAGGGAAGAACAAGUGCGAGAUUAACUGCUCGCCCCUUGACGGUACCUAACCAGAAAGCCCCGGCUAACUUCGUGCCAGCAGCCGCGGUAAUACGUAGGUGGCAAGCGUUGUCCGGAAUUAUUGGGCGUAAAGGGCUCGCAGGCGGUUUCUUAAGUCUGAUGUGAAAGCCCCCGGCUCAACCGGGGAAGGGCAUUGGAAACUGGGAAACUUGAGUGCGGAAGAGGAAAGUGGAAUUCCACGUGUAGCGGUGAAAUGCGUAGAGAUGUGGAGGAACACCAGUGGCGAAGGCGACUCUCUGGUCUGUAACUGACGCUGAGGAGCGAAAGCGUGGGGAGCGAACAGGAUUAGAUACCCGCGGUAGUCCAA
rnacentral:rRNA from 1 species